rnacentral:lncRNA from 1 species
CUAGAAGUAAAGCUGUUGAUUUUUUUGCUAGAAUCUUCUUCAUUAAUUUAACUAAAUUUCCACAGGACUUGUAAUUUUCAAAAGAAAUACAUGCCCCCAUUGGGUGAAGGCAAGAAGGAAUCAUCAAUGUAAUUUUAACUGGCAGACAACCACCCAAACGAGAAAACUCUAAGUACAGCAGCCCAAGUCAUCUCGUUUCUCGU